CUGGUUUUCGCAAGAGCUCGCUCCUCAUUGCUAUUGUCAGUGUUCUGUUUUCAAGAAAGAGGAAUACGUAUAUUUGAGGAAAUCAAAAACAUUAACCACCGAUGGAGAUAUAAUGUCGCAAGUUCGUAUGCAUCACUUGGUGCUUGAGAUCUGUGUGGUCACAGUUCUCCUGCAAAUGGCCUUAGGAGGUUCCCGAUGAUGCUGUGGUGCAAAGUAUGACAUGACACGUAGAAAGCUGCAUCGCAUUCCAUGAUGGACGUACUAUCUUGUACUGAUUCUUUUCUGAAAGCUUGCAACAUUCCGCAGAGGACACUUCCCAACGGCAGCAUCCGGUGCCAUAUUCGAAGAUACGCCAAGCCCACUCUGGCCCAGGGAGCAUAUAUUCUGCAUUUCAGAUGCAAUCCUGGAUACACGAGAAUAGGUCCAAGAGCAAUACUCUGCAAAGAUGAAGAAUGCACGGGCCCAUUCCCGGAAUGCAUUAAGACGGAAUGUGAAGAGUCUCCGUCUAUCUCUAAUGUCAAAUAUGCGGUGAAUACAGGCAAGGAUGACAGGAGGAUGAUCGGAUCAACAGCUACCUAUAUAUAUGUGAUACAGGGUUCGAAUUAGAAAACCAUACUGCAGAAGUUUUGACACGCAAAUUGGAUCUAAAGAUGAAUGAUUUUCACUGGAGCAACCUAACUCCCAGGUGCAGAGAAGAUAUCUUGUCCUGAUCUUGGAGUAUCCGUCGAUGGUGCAAGGAAAGGAAAUUGUUGUUUCACCGGAGAUGUUGUCAAAUAUUCUUGUAAAGAAGGUUUUGAAUUAGCUGGGACAGAUACUCUCGUUUGUUUGACCACUGGAAACUGGAGUACACCAAGACCACUUUGUCGUCCUUUGGACGAUUACUGUAUUUCGCCUCCUCCCAUUAGCCAUGGCUCAAUCAUGGGGGAGAAAGAGGGGGAUUUCUACCGACCGUACGAUGCAGUGGAGAUCAUUUGCGAGCCAGGAUACGAAUAUCAGGGUUUCGAAUUCAACUUGUGUAUCGAAGAAAUUGGAUGGGAGGAGGACUUCUCUGAAUGUAAAGAGAUCUUUUGCACUCAACCAGAGCCACUUGUGAAUGGAUCUAUUCCGGAGGUACAGUCUACCAAUAUUACAGCUUUCCCUUACGACUUCGAGAUCACCUAUGUGUGCAACAAAGGUUACCGACUGAUUGGUGAUAGCUGGAGGCUCUGCAGUAAGAAUGGAUGGUCCGGAGAUGCACCGUACU